rnacentral:rRNA from 1 species
UGGGGAAUAUUGCGCAAUGGACGAAAGUCUGACGCAGCGACGCCGCGUGUGGGAUGACGGUCUUCGGAUUGUAAACCACUGUCGGGAGGGACGAAUACGCCGCAAGGCGGGUGACGGUACCUCCAAAGGAAGCACCGGCUAACUCCGUGCCAGCAACCGCGGUAAUACGGAGGGUGCGAGCGUUGUCCGGAAUCACUGGGCGUAAAGGGCGCGUAGGCGGCCUGAUAAGUAGGGGGUGGAAAUCCAUGCCGGCUUGAACCGGCAUACGGAGCUGCCUUUCUCAAAGCUUGUCGGGCAUCGAGCGACAGUAGAGGCA